GUCACAAGGGCCCAGGAUUCACCACUCCCAUUUGUCUGCCAGAGCUUGAUUUGUUAACCUCAUAGUGGUCUUGUCUUUUUUUCAGUGCAAUACAUGAAGUAAUUACAGGUUUCACGCUACAGCGGGUUGCUGGGGUACCUUCUGGAGCUCUAAGCAGCAAUGCAGACAUGAAAUUACAGACAGAUACCUGCAGUUGUGAUGGUUGCAUUAAUUUGCUUCUUUCACAGGUCGCAACUUUGAGUGCUUUGCCAUCCACACUGUUCAGCAGGGCUUAUAGAAAGCAGUAAUGCCAACUAGUUGAAACUGUACAGUCUGGAGGAGCAGCAUGAAGUGUCAGCUAGUUCCUCCACCUCUGCCCAGGCUUCUCUGCUAAGAGGACUUCUGGACUGCAGCCAGAAGCAACGUGCAGGCAGCAUGGACAGCAAGCGAUGUUCUGAGAGUGCCUUAGGAGCUAUAAGGAUAAUCUUUGGAAUAUUGUGUCCUAAAUACUCCACGUUGCUCUUGAAAAUGAAAGCCUGGGAAAGGCUUCAUAUUGGUGUAGUAACUUUCUGUAGCAGACUUCCCCAGGCAGAAACUGAGCUGAUAAACUUUCUGUUCAAUUGGUUGAAAUUCACUAAAAACUUUAAAGACUUUUUUUUUUCUUUUUUUAGAAAAAGAGGUCUCACACUUGUAAACUCUUUGCAAACUCUUGCAAUGGCUGCUGCUGUAAUCCUAUAAAUACUGUGUUUCUUGGAUAGAAAUUUGAAAGAACAAAUUCUGAAGUCAGUUUCUAUUUGAUACGACUGCAGAAAGCUAGGUUUCUUCAACUCACUAAGCAACUCUGAAUAAUGAUGCCCAAAUAAAAAGUAACCUGUUUGUUCUAUGUCAUUCGAUCGCAUCUGGGUAUCAAUAGGCUUUGUAUGUUUUGUUGUUUAUGUACGUAAAUGGAAGUUAAGAAUCAGGAUGAAAGUUUGUCUGGCUUCUGACUUGACUUGGAAUGUGUGACGACAACAAGUAGAUAAAUUUUAUAUAUCUAAGGUAAAAUUGUACACAAAUAUGUCAUAAAAAGCAUAGGGGUCAACAGGGCUAGCAAGGUGAUGCCAAAUCAUAAGCAUAAUAAUAUAUGGAAUGUAUUCUAUUAUUCAUUCAGGUACAUGCUGUACUAUUUCAGCAUCCAGGCACAUCUUAAUCUUGAAAGAGAGCUGAACACAUCACAGGGAAAUCAGCUGUGACACUGGUGAUUUGUCAUUACGUGAAAUCAAUUCAGAUUAAAAUUUCUGAACUAGAAAAUACUGAAACAAAGCCAACAAAUGUCUGAAUGCUGUAAAUAUAAAGUUAGUAUAAUUUACUGACUAGAUUUAUAGACUCCUGCUAAUGUUAAGAUUCUAAUUAUUUUGGUGACGGCAUUUAAAUCACUGAAUUUAUGAUAAUAUCUACAGUGCCCAAAUAUAAUUAGACUAUCACGAUUACUGUCUGUGUCAUCAUUAUUUUGAAGACCUUAUGAUGCAAAUGAACAAGGAUAAAAAGUAUGGGACAUAAUAGUAGUGUCACAGACACUGAAUAACAGCCAGAUUCUGGUAGGAAAUACAAAUGCUGAGCAAAACAGUGAUGUUAUUUUCCUAUUUCAAUUUGAUUGAAUAUUUUUU
ensembl:lncRNA